UACGGAGGGCGCGAGCGUUGUCCGGAAUCACUGGGCGUAAAGGGCGCGUAGGCGGCCCUGGUAAGUCUGCGGUGAAAGCCCGGGGCUCAACCCCGGGUCGGCCGCGGGUACUGCCGGGCUGGAGUGCCGUAGGGGCAGGCGGAAUUCCGGUGUAGCGGUGGAAUGCGUAGAGAUCCGGAAGAACACCGGUGGCGAAGGCGGCCUGCUGGGCGGCGACUGACGCUGAGGCGCGACAGCGUGGGGAGCAAACAGG
rnacentral:rRNA from 1 species